CCGAGCCGUGUGAAGGACACUCAGAUGGGCCGAGUCGCGCACGAGAGAAAAUGGGCCGAGCCGUACACAAGUGAAGAUGGGCCGAGCAGUGCACGAGUGAAGAUGGGCUGAGCCGAAGUUGUUAAGGAUGCGAGCCCACUGAAACCCUAGGCAAAAACAUUAUGACGGUGGCCGCACAACAUGAUAAGGAAAUAUUCUGAAAAUCUCUCCCGU
rnacentral:lncRNA from 1 species